rnacentral:rRNA from 1 species
ACCUACGGGGGGCAGCAGUGGGGAAUAUUGCACAAUGGGGGGAACCCUGAUGCAGCGACGCCGCGUGAGUGAAGAAGUAUUUCGGUAUGUAAAGCUCUAUCAGCAGGGAAGAAAAUGACGGUACCUGACUAAGAAGCCCCGGCUAACUACGUGCCAGCAGCCGCGGUAAUACGUAGGGGGCAAGCGUUAUCCGGAUUUACUGGGUGUAAAGGGAGCGUAGACGGUUAUGCAAGUCAGAAGUGAAAGCCCGGGGCUCAACUCCGGGACUGCUUUCGAAACUGUGUUGCUAGAUUGCAGGAGAGGUA